CCCCAGCAAGCACUGCUGCUGCAAAUGGGCCACGGACGCCAACAGUCACGGUGGGGGGAAGAACCCCUACGCUAUCCAGCACACAGUCCUUGGCAUGCACUCCUGCCACAGACAAGCUUCACUCACCAACAUUUAUGACUGGAGGGGGAGUGUCCAGCACGCCUACGGAAUGCACCCCUGCCCCAAACGGUGGGCCUCAAGUGACAACAUUCACGAUUGUGGGGGGAACUGGUAGGGUACCCAGC